rnacentral:rRNA from 1 species
AACGAACGCUGGCGGCAGGCCUAACACAUGCAAGUCGAGCGCACCCUUCGGGGUGAGCGGCGGACGGGUGAGUAACGCGUGGGAACGUGCCCUUCUCUGCGGAAUAGCCUCGGGAAACUGAGAGUAAUACCGCAUACGCCCUUUGGGGGAAAGAUUUAUCGGAGAAGGACCGGCCCGCGUUGGAUUAGGUAGUUGGUGGGGUAAUGGCCCACCAAGCCGACGAUCCAUAGCUGGUUUGAGAGGAUGAUCAGCCACACUGGGACUGAGACACGGCCCAGACUCCUACGGGAGGCAGCAGUGGGGAAUCUUAGACAAUGGGGGCAACCCUGAUCUAGCCAUGCCGCGUGAGUGAUGAAGGCCUUAGGGUUGUAAAGCUCUUUCAGCUGGGAAGAUAAUGACGGUACCAGCAGAAGAAGCCCCGGCUAACUCCGUG